rnacentral:rRNA from 1 species
UCGCUGCCCGUGACUCGGCAAGAAGUCCAUUGAACCUUAUCAUUUAGAGGAAGGAGAAGUCGUAACAAGGUUUCCGUAGGUGAACCUGCGGAAGGAUCAUUG